rnacentral:rRNA from 1 species
GGUUAAGCGACUAAGCGUACACGGUGGAUGCCCUGGCAGUCAGAGGCGAUGAAGGACGUGCUAAUCUGCGAUAAGCGUCGGUAAGGUGAUAUGAACCGUUAUAACCGGCGAUUUCCGAAUGGGGAAACCCAGUGUGUUUCGACACACUAUCAUUAACUGAAUCCAUAGGUUAAUGAGGCGAACCGGGGGAACUGAAACAUCUAAGUACCCCGAGGAAAAGAAAUCAACCGAGAUUCCCCCAGUAGCGGCGAGCGAACGGGGAGCAGCCCAGAGCCUGAAUCAGUGUGUGUGUUAGUGGAAGCGUCUGGAAAGGCGCGCGAUACAGGGUGACAGCCCCGUACACAAAAAUGCACAUGCUGUGAGCUCGAUGAGUAGGGCGGGACACGUGGUAUCCUGUCUGAAUAUGGGGGGACCAUCCUCCAAGGCUAAAUACUCCUGACUGACCGAUAGUGAACCAGUACCGUGAGGGAAAGGCGAAAAGAACCCCGGCGAGGGGAGUGAAAAAGAACCUGAAACCGUGUACGUACAAGCAGUGGGAGCACGCUUAGGCGUGUGACUGCGUACCUUUUGUAUAAUGGGUCAGCGACUUAUAUUCUGUAGCAAGGUUAACCGAAUAGGGGAGCCGAAGGGAAACCGAGUCUUAACUGGGCGUUAAGUUGCAGGGUAUAGACCCGAAACCCGGUGAUCUAGCCAUGGGCAGGUUGAAGGUUGGGUAACACUAACUGGAGGACCGAACCGACUAAUGUUGAAAAAUUAGCGGAUGACUUGUGGCUGGGGGUGAAAGGCCAAUCAAACCGGGAGAUAGCUGGUUCUCCCCGAAAGCUAUUUAGGUAGCGCCUCGUGAAUUCAUCUCCGGGGGUAGAGCACUGUUUCGGCAAGGGGGUCAUCCCGACUUACCAACCCGAUGCAAACUGCGAAUACCGGAGAAUGUUAUCACGGGAGACACACGGCGGGUGCUAACGUCCGUCGUGAAGAGGGAAACAACCCAGACCGCCAGCUAAGGUCCCAAAGUCAUGGUUAAGUGGGAAACGAUGUGGGAAGGCCCAGACAGCCAGGAUGUUGGCUUAGAAGCAGCCAUCAUUUAAAGAAAGCGUAAUAGCUCACUGGUCGAGUCGGCCUGCGCGGAAGAUGUAACGGGGCUAAACCAUGCACCGAAGCUGCGGCAGCGACGCUUAUGCGUUGUUGGGUAGGGGAGCGUUCUGUAAGCCUGCGAAGGUGUGCUGUGAGGCAUGCUGGAGGUAUCAGAAGUGCGAAUGCUGACAUAAGUAACGAUAAAGCGGGUGAAAAGCCCGCUCGCCGGAAGACCAAGGGUUCCUGUCCAACGUUAAUCGGGGCAGGGUGAGUCGACCCCUAAGGCGAGGCCGAAAGGCGUAGUCGAUGGGAAACAGGUUAAUAUUCCUGUACUUGGUGUUACUGCGAAGGGGGGACGGAGAAGGCUAUGUUGGCCGGGCGACGGUUGUCCCGGUUUAAGCGUGUAGGCUGGUUUUCCAGGCAAAUCCGGAAAAUCAAGGCUGAGGCGUGAUGACGAGGCACUACGGUGCUGAAGCAACAAAUGCCCUGCUUCCAGGAAAAGCCUCUAAGCAUCAGGUAACAUCAAAUCGUACCCCAAACCGACACAGGUGGUCAGGUAGAGAAUACCAAGGCGCUUGAGAGAACUCGGGUGAAGGAACUAGGCAAAAUGGUGCCGUAACUUCGGGAGAAGGCACGCUGAUAUGUAGGUGAAGUCCCUUGCGGAUGGAGCUGAAAUCAGUCGAAGAUACCAGCUGGCUGCAACUGUUUAUUAAAAACACAGCACUGUGCAAACACGAAAGUGGACGUAUACGGUGUGACGCCUGCCCGGUGCCGGAAGGUUAAUUGAUGGGGUCAGCGCAAGCGAAGCUCUUGAUCGAAGCCCCGGUAAACGGCGGCCGUAACUAUAACGGUCCUAAGGUAGCGAAAUUCCUUGUCGGGUAAGUUCCGACCUGCACGAAUGGCGUAAUGAUGGCCAGGCUGUCUCCACCCGAGACUCAGUGAAAUUGAACUCGCUGUGAAGAUGCAGUGUACCCGCGGCAAGACGGAAAGACCCCGUGAACCUUUACUAUAGCUUGACACUGAACAUUGAGCCUUGAUGUGUAGGAUAGGUGGGAGGCUUUGAAGUGUGGACGCCAGUCUGCAUGGAGCCGACCUUGAAAUACCACCCUUUAAUGUUUGAUGUUCUAACGUUGACCCGUAAUCCGGGUUGCGGACAGUGUCUGGUGGGUAGUUUGACUGGGGCGGUCUCCUCCUAAAGAGUAACGGAGGAGCACGAAGGUUGGCUAAUCCUGGUCGGACAUCAGGAGGUUAGUGCAAUGGCAUAAGCCAGCUUGACUGCGAGCGUGACGGCGCGAGCAGGUGCGAAAGCAGGUCAUAGUGAUCCGGUGGUUCUGAAUGGAAGGGCCAUCGCUCAACGGAUAAAAGGUACUCCGGGGAUAACAGGCUGAUACCGCCCAAGAGUUCAUAUCGACGGCGGUGUUUGGCACCUCGAUGUCGGCUCAUCACAUCCUGGGGCUGAAGUAGGUCCCAAGGGUAUGGCUGUUCGCCAUUUAAAGUGGUACGCGAGCUGGGUUUAGAACGUCGUGAGACAGUUCGGUCCCUAUCUGCCGUGGGCGCUGGAGAACUGAGGGGGGCUGCUCCUAGUACGAGAGGACCGGAGUGGACGCAUCACUGGUGUUCGGGUUGUCAUGCCAAUGGCACUGCCCGGUAGCUAAAUGCGGAAGAGAUAAGUGCUGAAAGCAUCUAAGCACGAAACUUGCCCCGAGAUGAGUUCUCCCUGACCCUUUAAGGGUCCUGAAGGAACGUUGAAGACGACGACGUUGAUAGGCCGGGUGUGUAAGCGCAGCGAUGCGUUGAGCUAACCGGUACUAAUGAACCGUGAGGCUUAACCUU